ensembl:misc_RNA RN7SKP290 RN7SK pseudogene 290
GGAUGUGAAGGUGAUCUGGCUGUGUCAUCUGUUGCCCCAUUGAUCGCCAGGGUUGAUUCAGCUGAUCUGGCUGGCUAGGCAGGUGUCCCCUUCCUCCCUCACAGCUCCAUGUGCAUCCCUCCAGCAACCCUCCCACCUCAGCCUGCUGAGUAGCUGGGACCAUGGGCACACACCACUCACCCGGCUAAUUUUGUU